GAUGAACGCUGGCGGCGCGCCUAACACAUGCAAGUCGAACGGCGUGGCGAACGACUGCGUAACACGUGGGCAACCUGCCCUCCUAUUGGGGAAAGCCUCGGGGAACAGGGAUAAUACCCGAUAGAGAUGGAUGGCCCGCUGCCUGUUAGCUUGUUGGUGGGGAUGAGGACUACACAGGCAAUGAGGGGUAGCUGGGUUGAGAGACCGACCAGCCAGAUUGGGACUGAGACACGGCCCAGACUCCUACGGGAGGCAGCAGUGGGGAAUCUUGCACAAUGGGCGAAAGCCUGAUGCAGCGACGCCGCGUGCGGGACGAAGGCCUUCGGGUUGUAAACCGCUUUCAGCAGGGACGCGGUACCUGCAGAAGAAGCCACGGCUAACUACGUGCCAGCAGCCGCGGUAAUAC
rnacentral:rRNA from 1 species